CCAGUGCCCUCUUCUAAGCUCUUUAUCAUAAUUUCUGAUGUAAAGAGCAUGAUGCCAUGGACAAAAUGGGCCCUCAGUGACUAUCCGAUGCAGGGCCAGGCACUGAAUGCAGCAUCCCUAGAAGAUUGUGGUAUUUCUGGCCAUACGCAGGAAAGAUGCCACAGAUGCUCAAGUAUAGGCAUCAGCUACCACCCCAUCUGCUGGUGGUGCUAAUACUUCUCCGGGAUACCUCCCCUCCAGUCUCCUCCACCCCUACAGGGUCAGCACUGCUCUUAAGCCUUGAAGUCUCACAUCUGCAUGGCAGCUGCCAGCAAAAGGGAGAAAAAUCUCUGUAUCCCU
rnacentral:lncRNA from 1 species